CCUUGCUAUUUUACCUCUUGAGUACAAAUUAGCAUGUGAGACAUUUCCAAUUUGGGUCUUCUUUUGGUUCAAUGAAGCAUGUCUUCUAACUUUCCAAUGCAAGAUAUCCAUAAUUUGUCAGUUUGAGUAUGUCUACUAGUAAACCACGCUGUGCAUUCAUAGAUGCAUUGAAUUCCACUUUAUGUCCCGGAUGCAUACGUUGGUCAUAUUGCCCAUGCU
rnacentral:lncRNA from 1 species